rnacentral:rRNA from 1 species
UACGUAGGGUGCAAGCGUUAAUCGGAAUUACUGGGCGUAAAGCGUGCGCAGGCGGUUGUGCAAGACAGAUGUGAAAUCCCCGGGCUCAACCCCGGGAACUGCGUCCGAUACUGGCAGGCUUGAAUCCGGGAGAGGGAUGCGGAAUUCCAGGUGUAGCGGUGAAAUGCGUAGAUAUCUGGAGGAACACCGGUGGCGAAGGCGGCAUCCUGGACCGGCAUUGACGCUGAGGCGCGAAAGCCAGGGGAGCAAACGGG